CAGAAUGUCCCUAACAUGUUUCAGGGUGGUGGGUUACUUUUUUUAUAAUUUCCUUUUCUUCCAAAAAGGUCCAUUAAGGGCACUAGUACAUUCGUAAUCCAAACACCCUCACGAACACCUUGUGACGUUGUGUGCUUUCAGGCGAGCAGCCCAGGGCCCGCCCAGGAUGAGGUACAGUAGAGGAGGUGCCGACUGUCAAACGCUGAAAAGUUUCCAAUAACAGCUGGCCUAGCGCUCGGCGGGAGGGAGGCGACUGCUCGGAAGAGCCGUCCCACGUGCUUUCGGGGAAAUAGCCUGGGAGCGAGAAGCAGCGCGACUGAGAGGAAACCGAAAAGCGAAAGUAGAGACAGAGGGAGCAGUACGCAGGCGCGGCCCAGGGGCUUUCCAGCUGACCGCCCGCUGCGCCGCGGGUACCGCCCCCCUCGCCCCUCGCAACCUCCCGGAGAGCGACUUCCGUACAUUGCUUAAGGGGACCAACCUAGGACCUCCAGUGUGUGAAGGGACACACCUGACUGGACCACAAGUCUCCAGACCUCCUGAGAAAACUGGGCUUGUGGAGAGAAGUAGAGACUGGAAAAUGCACCUUGAAUUAGCUUGUGGUCCUACAUCAAACUGACACCUUCACCCAAAGAAUACUGUCAAGAGCUUGCAAAAGCAUAAGAGGAGUGGCCCUGGGACAGGAGAGGUGUCCCUGGCAGUGAUGCCAGCAGCUGUGAAUCCUGAAGCUGGAACAGAGCUGACAUGGCAACCAAGAGGCUUCCUAAUUCACCUGGGAAUUGCUGCUGUUAAUACCCUGUCGUUGCUUCCAUCUUGUAUUCAGUGUGAUGACUCUUACUUGCGAGAACUCAGGAUGUUCACUUAUUCAGUUUCCAUCAAGCCUUCCUGCUGGUUUGUGAGUAAUGUGUAUGUGACUUUGUUAUUUUUCACCUAUUGUGCAAUCUUUACACUUAAAACUUCUAGAGUCAAAAUCAUAAGUAACACAACAGAAACAAAACCGGAAAUGAAACACAUACAAAUGAGUCUUUCAUUAAUAUUAUAUUAACACUGGUUUCUUAAAGUGUUUUAUCUCACAAGUUUAUCAGAAGCUUGGGUCUCUAGCAUUUCGAUGACAUUCCCAUUUGGGGGUAUCAUAAGAAUGAGAAGAAAGCUUCCUAUUUAAUCAUUUCCUGGAAACUGGUAUAUACAAAGCUGAAGAAACCAGAUGUGAUUGUUGGCCAAGAUUAGUCUUUAAAACUUUUCCAUUUGCUUCCUUCUUUUGAGUGUCAAGAGUUUAUCUUGUCAUUCAGCAGAAUAGGGAGACUUCAUC